ensembl:lncRNA
GCAUGCUUUAUUGACUUUAAAAAAGCUUUUGACUCAAUUUGGCACCAAGGACUAUUCUACAAACUUAUUGAAAGUGGCAUAGGAGGUAAAACCUAUGAGCUUAUCAAAUCAAUGUACACUGAAAGUAAAUGUGGCGUAAAAAUCAGCACCAAACGUACGAGGUAUCUUUCCCAGGAGCGUGGAGUGAGACAGGGCUGCUGCUUAAGCCCAAUGCUAUUUAACAUCUACAUCAAUGAACUGGCGAGCAGUCUGGAGCGAUCUGCAGCCCCUGGCCUCACCCUACACAACUCUCAGAUCAGAUGCCUGCUGUAUGCAGACGACCUGCUUCUGCUGUCUCCCACUCAACACGCUUUACAGCAGAACCUGGACCUGCUACAGCAAUACUGCCAGACCUGGGCUCUGACAGUCAACCUGAAGAAAACCAGAAUUAUGAUCUUUCAGAAAAGAUCCAGAUCCCAGGGAACACCACACACAUUUACAUUAGGCACUCAGCAGAUAACACACACAUCACACUACAACUACCUGGGUUUGAAAAUCACAUCCACGGGAAACUUUAAUCAUGCUGUGAAUGAACUGAGAGAUAAAGCACGCAGGGCCUUCUACGCCAUCAAACGGCAAUGUCCUAUAGAGAUCCCUAUUAGAAUUUGGCUGAAAAUAUUAGAAUCAGUAAUUGAGCCCAUUGCCCUCUAUGGCAGUGAGGUGUGGGGUCCACUGACAAAUCCCAAUCAAGAUUUCACCAAAUGGGAAAAACAUCCGAUUGAGACCCUGCAUGCAGAACUCUGUAAAAAUAUACUACACGUGCACCGUCACACAACAAAUAACGCAUGCAGGGCAGAAUUAGGCAAAUAUCCUCUAAUCAUAAAGAUACAAAAAAGGGCGAUUAAAUUCUGGAAACAUCUGAAGCUCAGUGACCCCCAAUCAUAUCAUUAUAAAGCCCUGCAAUACCAAGAGAUGAGCAAAGAAAGCAAGGCCCUCCCUCAGCUGAUCCAGAGCUUCAGUCCUGAUGCUUCACUAACAUCUACUGCUGCUCUGCAUCACAGCAUCAGAAUCAGUCAGAUUACUGCACAGAUCAAACAGAGCUACAUCACUCACUGGCAAACCCAAACACAACAGCAGAGUAAAGUGCAAUGCUAUCUGGCCCUAAAGAGAGAGUACAGUACGGCAGAGUAUCUGUACACAGUGUCAGAUAAGAAACUGAGAAGCACGUUGACCAGAUACAGACUCAGCGGACACAAGCUGAUGAUAGAGACGGGCAGACACAGAAAAACAUGGCUGCCACCGGAGCAGAGACUGUGUUCACACUGUGAUCUGAAUCAGAUUGAAACAGAGCUGCACUUCCUAACAGAAUGCCCCAAAUACACAGAUAUACGGACAGUGUUCUAUGAGAAAAUACAGCAGAUCCAUCAGACAUUUCAAACUCUCUCAGACCAGGAGAAAGUGGCGUAUCUGUUAGGAGAACAGAAGAACUGCUGUGUGUUUGCUGCUCAAUAUGUGUCUGCCUGUCACCACAGAAGAGAAAACACUCACCCUGCCCUGAUCUGAUGUUUCCAGCACAGCUACAUUAUAUUAGGCCAUAUUACAUUACUUAGAUGUACAUUCUGCUU